GAUGAACGCUGGCGGCGUGCCUAAUACAUGCAAGUCGAGCGAACAGAUGAGGAGCUUGCUCCUCUGACGUUAGCGGCGGACGGGUGAGUAACACGUGGAUAACCUACCUAUAAGACUGGGAUAACUUCGGGAAACCGGAGCUAAUACCGGAUAAUAUAUUGAACCGCAUGGUUCAAUAGUGAAAGACGGUUUUGCUGUCACUUAUAGAUGGAUCCGCGCCGCAUUAGCUAGUUGGUAAGGUAACGGCUUACCAAGGCAACGAUGCGUAGCCGACCUGAGAGGGUGAUCGGCCACACUGGAACUGAGACACGGUCCAGACUCCUACGGGAGGCAGCAGUAGGGAAUCUUCCGCAAUGGGCGAAAGCCUGACGGAGCAACGCCGCGUGAGUGAUGAAGGUCUUCGGAUCGUAAAACUCUGUUAUUAGGGAAGAACAAAUGUGUAAGUAACUAUGCACGUCUUAACGGUACCUAAUCAGAAAGCCACGGCUAACUACGUG
rnacentral:rRNA from 1 species